rnacentral:rRNA from 1 species
UAUUGGGCAAUGGACGCAAGUCUGACCCAGCCAUGCCGCGUGGAGGAUGAAGGUCCUCUGGAUUGUAAACUUCUUUUAUCUGAGAAGAAACCCAAGAUUUCUAUUUUGGUUGACGGUACCAGAUGAAUAAGCACCGGCUAACUCCGUGCCAGCAGCCGCGGUAAUACGGAGGGUGCAAGCGUUAUCCGGAUUCACUGGGUUUAAAGGGUGCGUAGGUGGGUUGCCAAGUCCGUGGUGAAAUCUCCGAGCUUAACUCGGAAACUGCCGUGGAUACUGGUAAUCUUGAAUAUCGUGGAGGUAAGCGGAAUAUGUCAUGUAGCGGUGAAAUGCUUAGAUAUGACAUAGAACACCGAUAGCGGAGGCAGCUUGCUACACGAUCAUUGACACUGAGGCACGAAAGCGUGGGGAGCAAACAGG